CACCGCGGUUAUACGAGAGGCCCAAGUUAACAGAUAACGGCACAAAGGGUGGUUAGGGGUACAACUAAAACUAAAGCAAAACCCUUUCAAUGCCGUGAUACGCCCCGAAAGUGUGAACCCCAAUUACGAAGGUAGCUUUAAUAACCCUGAAUCCACGAAAGCUAAGGAA
rnacentral:rRNA from 1 species